GUGCUUAACUUUUUCUUCUAUUCCCUUCUUUUCACACGCAAAAUGUAGAUUCUCUGAAUGCUAAUCAGACCUUCACAAGCUGUAACCACUUGCUUUCUUGACUACCCACCCUACGUUUUUUUUCUUUUUUUCUCUCUCUCCUGCUUACUCUUUCUCCUUUAAAUAUUGAAAUCCCCAAGCCCUUAAGCUUUUUUCCUGGAAAAUACACAAGCUCCCCAAGCGUUUUUUGGGAAAAAACACGUCAUAGGUUCUACUGCGACUUGUGUUUCUUUUUCCCAGGCAUGCACUCAACCUCGGCAAAAUAAACUUCUGAUUGAUUGAGAUCCGCUUCCAUCACUUUUUGGUCUACUGAAGGAGCAACACACCUGUCCAUCAAUAGGACUAGAGACUUUUUAAAAGUACCUCAUGUACGCAGGGAAAUCCGAAAACUACUGUGGGAACAAUAGUGAAAAAGAGCAUGGCUGUGGCAUGAAGACACUUAGAGUCUGGACAGUCUAGCACAGAACUGUUUGGAUUAUGGAGUAGAUGCCUUCAGUUUCCUGUCGACAACCUUCAGAUCUUAUCAUUUCUGUGUCCACUGGCCUACUUUCAGCUGCACGUAUCUGCAUCACUUCGCUGGAGAAUGUUCUCCAAAGCUGCUGAUGUCCUUACUGCUUCACUGCCCAUGUACAUGGUGGUCUGAAAAUGACAAGAAAAGAAUGCCCAUAAAGAAAGGCCUCAAUCAAUGAUUGAAGGAAUUGGCAUGUAAUAAAUGUCUUGCUCCUCAAUUGGGGUAACUCUUGAGUGGGUGUUCUAUAUUGUCUCCUAAAGUUCUUCAGCAAAAUUGAUUUUUCAAUAAACUCACAAUGGUUAUUUGCCA